UACGGAGGGUGCAAGCGUUAUCCGGAUUCACUGGGUUUAAAGGGUCCGUAGGCGGUUUAGUAAGUCAGUGGUGAAAGCCCAUCGCUCAUCGGUGGAACGGCCAUUGAUACCGCUAGACUUGAAUUAUUAGGAAGUAACUAGAAUAUGUAGUGUAGCGGUGAAAUGCUUAGAGAUUACAUGGAAUACCAAUUGCGAAGGCAGGUUACUACUAAUGGAUUGACGCUGAUGGACGAAAGCGUGGGUAGCGAACAGG
rnacentral:rRNA from 1 species